rnacentral:lncRNA from 1 species
AUCUUGCUUGGGCCAAAGUCCCAAGCUCCAAACAAAUCCACAUGCCAAAAUGGGUUCUGUCAAGACCCGUGACCCUAAAGAAGCUCAUGGAUUCGAAGUAAACAUACUAUAACACGAGAGCGGCAGGAGGAAAAGUCGAUGUCGAAGACAAGCAACUCUCACCGUCAGCGUUUCGAUCUUCUUCCCACUGCUUCCUCUGUGCCAAAGUCUUGUUUUUACGAUGUCGAUGGUGAUACUAUCAUUCGACGCCUUGCUGUGUUCGCGGUUAAUGAUGAAGAUGUUUGCACGUUGUUGAUUCUUCGAUUCCGUUGAUGAUGAAUAAUGCAAUUCUCUCUUCCAUGAUGUGGUGAUUUUUCUUUCUCUUUGCUACUUUUGUUAUCUUUUAUCAUCUUUCUCUUCUCUGAAUCAUGAUGUUCUUCUUGUUCUCUCCAUUUGUAUUUGUGUUGUUGUUCUGUGAAGUAGUGUGAUGAGUUAAGGGAGUGGGGGCAAGUUAAGACUUUGAUGCAGAGUGAUUCUUGAUGCUUGACGCGGGAUGAUUCUUGAUGCCGAGAUAUUGGGAACUGGUGCGGAGUGUGGUUGAGAAUUGGUGCAAAAUCAUUCCUCUCCACUGAUGUAGAGUGAAGGGUCUCUAAUAUGAAACAAAGUGAAGAGGGAAUGAGGAGAUUGCAGAAGAAUCUACAGAAUGAAGCAGAUGAAACAAAGUGAAGAUGAAGUGAGGAAAUUCCAGAAUGAGGAUUGAAGUGUGAAGAGUGAAGAGUUCUGAGGAGUGAAGAGUGAAGAAUUUUUGUUUGUGUGAAAAUGAUCCCUCCCCUAUCAAUCACAGUAAGUCUCUUUUUAUAGUUUUCCAAAAUUCUGUUAUGAAAUUCAAUGCGAAAUUAAAUUGAAAUUCAUGUUCAAAUUAGUUAGUUAGAAACUCAUAAUUUAGUUGGAGUUAAAUUCAAAUGAAAUGAAAAUUUUAAUUCAUUCUUCCCUUUUGAGAUGCAUAUUCUGUUAGUCACACGUUGAGAUGAAAAUUAACUUGAAAUUAUCAAUUAGUUAGUGUAAGACCCCAAUUUUGACCCUAAGGUCCCUCAUGCUAUCUCAUCAUAUGCAUCGGUAUUAGGAUCACACAUUGGCAUCCUCUUUACCCCUAUUUCAUUGGAUUUGCAUUGGGAGAGAUCACCAAACACUUUUGAUUGUAGCAUACUUUGUUUUUCAUUAUUUUACUAACCAAAAUACCAAAAAUAUGUCAAUGUAUAGUUUGUUGCUUUUGUAGGUAGUGUGUAUGCUCAUCUAUGCUCUAUCAAGGUCAUAUCUAGGGUUUGAGACCCUCAAUGUAAGAAGCACAAUCAAGAAAUAGUUUAAAUUAUCUCUAAGAAUCAUAUAUGGAUCCCCAUGAUCUUCACGUGUUAUUUUGAUCAAGAAAUC